rnacentral:lncRNA from 1 species
UUGAAUAAAGAUAAAAAAUAUAGAUUGAAUAAUUGGGCUUCUAGGUAUACAAACACGCGAACACACAGCAUAAAACCUUUUAAUAUUCAUAUAUAUAUAUAUACAUAUCUAUAUAUAAUGGAUUUUUGUUUUUAAUCAGAAAUCAUGAUGAGUUUAACCCAUUAGAAUGUUAUGUAAGAGGAAGUAAAAAAAAAUACUCAAUUCCUUUUUCGAUCUUGCCUAGUAAAGACGAGCUUGGGAAUUUCCAUCCACCCGUAUUAUCAGGAAGGUAUAAAGCCGAUAUAGAGAAACAAUAUUAUAUGCACGAUUUGCCAUGGGUGUGGCAUAGAAGCUUUUACGAAGGUACUAACCAUUUUUGUGAUAACAUGGUUGUAGGAAAAAAAAAAUGGUACAUGAAAGAACAGCGAGAAGAAAGAAUGAAGGAGGCCCUAAAAAAAAUGAAUGAUAUGGUUUUGGAAUAUAGAGAGGUAAAUAAUUGUUAAUCAACACAUACGUAUAUAUAAAUACAUAUAUACAUGUGCACAGACACAGAAAACAAACAGUGGCUUAAA